GUGGGGCUUCGGCCCCAUUGAGAUAGCACCCUUUGCUUAUGAGUACCCUUGUUUCCUCGGCGGGCUUGCCCGCCAUGAGGACAUCCAAAACCCUUUGUAGUAGCAGUAACUUCAGUUAAUAACAAAUAUUAAAACUUUCAACAACGGAUCUCUUGGUUCU
rnacentral:misc_RNA from 1 species